rnacentral:rRNA from 1 species
UGCGGUUAUACAAAAAUUAAAUUAAAUUUUUUUUAGGGAUUAAUAAAUAAAUUUAUAUUAAAUAGCUUAAAUUUUAAAUUAUAAAGUGAAAUUUUAAUUUAAAUAAAAUUUAUUUAUUUUUAUUAUAUUAAUAAAUUUUAUAAAAAACUAGGAUUAGAUACCCUAUUAUAAAAAUUUAAAUUAAUAAUCUUAAAAUAGUAUAUAAUUUUUUAUAGAAACUUAAAUAAUUUGGCGGUAUUUUAGUUCAUUUAGAGGAAUCUGUCUAAUAAUUGAUAAUCCACGAUAAAAUUUACUUAAUUUAUAAUUUUGUAUAUCGUUGUUAAAAAAAUAUUUUUAAAUGAUUAUAAUAUUUUAAAAUUUGAAUAAAAAUUUAAAUCAGAUCAAGAUGCAGAUUAUAAUUAAGAAUAUGAUGGAUUACAAUAAAUUUUAUUUUAUUUGGAUGUUAAUUUGAAAUAAAUUAAUUGAAAUUGGAUUUAAAUGUAAUUUUAUUAAUUUUGUUAAAAUGAUUAAAAAUUAAAAUAUGUACAUAUUGCCCGUCGCUUUCAUUUAUAAAUUGAAAUAAGUCGUAACAAAGUAGAGGUACUGGAAAGUGUUUCUAGAAAGAU